GUCUUGCUCAAUUUAAAUCCCACGUGAAACAGCUCACUUUUAGAGGUUCAUUUAAAUUUCAUUGCGCGACGUAGAUCGCGAGAGACGUGCGUAGAUCAGCUGAUUCGAAAACAGAUCGUGUAUUAACGGCGAUAAAAGGACGUUAAGACUCCAACUAAAGCCUGUGCAAUUAGGAAAAGUACUGCACUGACGAAUAACAUGAAGGAUUGCGUAUAUACCAGUAGCAUGUAUAUACAACACCAACGUUCCUAGCACGCCUAACGCGCAUAAUUAUGCUUUGCACGAGAUUUUAACGGUUGGUUGGUUGGUUACUUGCUUAGAUUCUUCGGUUAAUGCUUAUUUGUCGUAGUUGACGAACAUAGGAAUAAUAACGUGGCGAGUACGCAGAUCGCGAUAAGAGCCGACUAUGCUUCCUCGCCUUCUCUAUAAAUGCUAAUUAAGUAUAAUCUAACAACUCUUAAGUCUCUCGAUCGAGCACGUAUUAAAUUACAUUAAUUGACGUUCUACGACGAAUUACAAAUUAUCGCAUUAUCGUAGAAACGAUUUGCAACUGCGGGGAAAUUCGUUGUAAUAGAAAUAAAAUAAUAGUAGAGUAUAUGGUUAUAGUAGUUUGUCAAUCAUUUUCCAGAGAAAGAAGAAGAAGAAGAAGAAGAAGAAGAGGAACAAAAACGAAUCUCCAAGUCUUAAAUCGACUACCGAAAGUAACGCCAGGAAGAAAAGAAAAGUUAUGAGAGAGAGAGACGUUAGAGAAUUUCCUGGAUAGUUGGCGCCAACUGUGACCUCCUUUAAUGAGGCGUGCUCGAGGAAGGCACGCGUUUAACUGGCACAAUGUUUCUUGCGGAGAGCUCUACUCACGCUACUUGCUUUGCUGGCUGCUCCCCUCUCGUAAAUUAUUCCGCGAGGGAUCAAGGCCCCGCGAGUAACAAUGAACUUUUGGUGCCCUCUCAUAACGUCGCGUCAUCGCGAACAAAUUCAAUGUCAUCAAAUUGCUUAUGUAUCACAUUCUGUGUUUCUGCGUAAGUAUACGUGUACCCUAAGAAGUAUGCCUAAGAAUACGUUCUUUUCAUCUUUUUAUCUAUCUCUCUCGUAAGUUUUAGAAAUAGACAAAAUAAAAAGUAUAAGUAAAAGGAAAAAGCGCGAGAUACGUGAAUUUUUGCAAAUGAAAGAAUGCAACGUGGCAAAAUACAUCCAUAGGGUGCAUGCCUUAACGAUAUCAACCGAUCUCGAGACGCUUCAUCGAUAUUUCGCGUGAGAUUCAUACUGCAAAUGAAAAAAAAAGGAAAAAACAGAGACAGAGAAGAAGACUCCCGGCGAUCGCAUUAUUCAGAUUAGGACAUCGACAGAGGAACGAACGGCUGCAUGGAUAUGUGAGAAGAAACAUGUCCUUUCUUUCUUUCUCUCGCAUGAACGCAGUGUGAGAGGAGACGAAGUGACGGCCGUCUCUUGUGUCGUGUAGCGGGGCCUGGCGCCCGGUGUCCGCUCGGAAAAAAGCCCCCAACGUAAAUGCGAUAAAGAGAGAAAGAAAGAGAAGAAAAGGGGGAGGGUGGAAUAUGAAAAAUUGACGGAUUCACCCAUAGCCGCGAACCGAGGAGAGCGGCAGCAAGUUGCUCUUUUAAAUCUCAUCGUAAACACGCGUUCACAGUGGCUCUCAUAUUCAUUGAUCGGACGAUUUUAUUUUAAGGGAUGUUUUUAUCGAAAUUUUGACAAAUAUUUCUUCGUCGAUAAUAUUAUCUCUAUUUGAAAAAAGGAAAAAAAAAAUAGAAGUAAAUUUUCAUUCGGCUCGAUUUAAUUAAAAGCGUUACUUUUCCUCGAUUAUCGGGUAAAAGUUUGACAAAUCGAAGCGAAUGAUACUGUAAAUGAUGGUAAAUAAUAAAAAAUAUUGAUAAAAAAUACGACGAAGAAUGAAGAAUGUAAGAGCACGUGCGUCGUUACGUGGCAAGAUUCUGGCAGGUAGCUCUGGAACAAAUAUGGCAUAUAUGUGUAUUCUAAUUCGCUACCGGUCUUUUCGGCUCCUCCUGUUAAUCGUUUCUCCUCUGUUCGGAGACUCCCCCGUAAGCCCUCGGGUCUCGUCCCGUUCCUCGUCUUCUCCUCCUCGUCAUCGUCGUAUUUCUCAAACGACAAGAAAAGGAGAAGUUUGCGUGCGUGUCUUGCUAACUAUGCAAAACGUAGAAAGAUAUCCAGGAGUAAGUAGCAGCAGGCCGAGGAAGAAACGAUAUAACCGCAUCAAAAAGAGGAGGAGGAUGAGAAGCAAGAGGAAGAAGACGAGCAACGAGCGAAGAAGAGGACGAGGAUGAUGAUGGUGGUGUUCACGUGUCGUUGUUGUGGUGGUGGUGUUGCCACUGCUGUUGAGAAUCCCGUGUCUCGGUGAAGGUAACUGUGUGUGCGUUGGCGCCAGGUCGCAUUCUCGCAUUCGUUAACCAACACACAUCACAGCCGUUAAACUUCUCCCUUCUCUUUUCUCUCCGCUCCGUGCUUGCGAUCAAAUAGCUCGUGCCUUGUUUCUCUCGACGCGGUGCUUCUUCUUAUUCUCUUUUUCUUGUUUUUCUCCCCUUCUCUUUCUCUUUUUAUAUACCAUCCUCCUAUGUAGAGAUAUUAAGAGCGGUCACGGCUCCCGAAUUUGCCAAGCGCGGGACGACGGGAUCCCGAUUUGUCCUCGUCUCGUUUGCUAACCGCAGGUACGUGGCGAAACGACCGGUUUCUUCCUACGGUCCGGUGCAUCGGUCCAUGCAUCGAUGUUUCGGCAUGCAAAGUGUCCUCCCCACCCUCGCCAAAGCGAACAGACAGAGAGAUGGGAUCGCUUUUGGAAAUGAUCGAACCGAAGGGUGGAUAUAAGAUCCCUUUAAGGAUAAACAUUUUGUCAUCAAAACAACAGGACGCGAACUGUGUCAUGACUUCAUUAUUAUGUACCUACGAACUUCAUUUCGGUAUCAUCCUCAUUAGCUAUUCUUCUAUCUAUUUACUCGACCAAAUAAACUUACAUUCAAACGUUUUCUUCUAACAGCGUAUUCAUUCUAUUUUAUUUAUUAUUUAAGCCAGUACCAAAAUUGAUUCUAAUCUACGCACUAAUUGUAAGUUUAAAAUGAAAGAACAAUAAAAAAGAUGAUAAUCAUUUUCAGGCCAUUCGGUAUGAAGUAGCGAAAAGACGAGUCAAAUUCAGCUGAUGUCAGUUUGCGAAAAAUCGUUUUAUCUCGAACGAUCGUGCAUAAGUCGAGUCGUUGAGACAUGACGCGUCACCGAGUCCGACACCUACCUAAAUCUACGACGGCCGCGCUCUUAAUAGCUACAUCCGUCCGUCGUGACGCGACUGACAUCCGUAAAGAUCGGAGUAGGAGCAUCGCGACGAAGAUGACGACGACGACGACGACGACGACGACGACGACGACGACGACGAAGAAGAAGAAGAACCGAACCCGGCAUUCCAAAGGAGCUCACGUCGGUUCGUCCACCUCGAAAUCCGUUCGCGCCCUCUCCUCGUUUUUCAUUCGUUCUCAGUUGACGCCUCGAAAAAAAUAUAUCCGCAGCUUAAGAUCCUAAAGAAGAAAUCACUUGUUUUUUUCUUCUUCCUUUCUUCUUUCUUUCUUUCUUUCUUUCUUUACUUUUUUUUCUUUCUUUUUCGUUCUUUUACAUUCGAAUUAGAAGGCAUUCAAUAGGUAAGAAUUCAGGACAGGGACAAGGCAACUUACCUGCGAUAGAAAUGGAGCAUCGUAGACUUAGCUUCUAGAGGGGGGAAAGGAAGAUAAGAAGAAAAACAGAGAGACAGAGAGAGAGAGAGAGAAGAGUCACUAAUGACUUCCUGGCACCGGCGACAUCUCCCGUCGAACUUUAUUUAUGGUUUUCAGGACAGCGCAUACCAUAUGUAUGGCGCUUACCUUCGAGCUUUCUCUCUCUCUUUCUUUAUUAGAAUCCAAAAAUCUUAUAAUCAAACUCGACGCGCAUUUAAUUCUCUUAUUUAAUUUCUUUUGAUAAUUAGAUAAAAAAAGAAAAAAGAUAAUUCAUGACAAUAAUUCAUCUCACUUCAUUGAUACGUAAAAUUAAAUAGACGAAUAAAAUUGUGUCCCGCUAUUGUCAAUUUCACGAGGUACGAAUUCUUCCGUUUACAAUUAGAUUCGCUUGAUGCUCCAGUUUCUCCCUGGCUCGGAACGCGUUUUUAUUUUUGAUUAGAUCGAUAUCAUCGAAAAUUCCACGAUUAAAAUUUCCUUUCUCCAGCUAACUAUCGAUUAAAAUAUCGAAUAAGACCUCAAGAAGAGAUCCGAUCGAAUUGAUUUUCAUUGAAAGAGGAAACAAGUUGAAAUGUCGAUAUACAAUGUUAAGAUUUUAAAGGAGAGCGACAAAAAAAAGAAAUAGAAAAAGACACCGGAAUGUGUAAGAUCGAGGAAGAGAGAAAGAGAGAGAGAGAGAAAGAAAAAGAUAAAAGUUAGAAAAAAUUAUCUGGUAUUUUCUUUACCGAGUAGUCAGCCGAAGCAAAGGUCAAAAGUUAAGCAACGCUCUCGUUAUCGGUGCAAACACCACAGCGUUCGCAUAUGCAACGAUGCGAUCGAUGCUUUUCGUUAGAUCGACGAAAUUAAUUCGAACGGUAUAAAGAUAUGUAAGAUCGAACAAAAUGAUAAGAUACACGGGGUUUAGAUCGAAUAGGGGGAAAAAAGAAAAUCACGAAAAGAUAUAUAUAUAUAUUUGUUUUAUUUUCUUCAAAUGGAGAUUUCCGACGAUAGGAUCGAUCUCGAGACGUUUCUUGAAGACUCGAUUGACGGAAGACGAAGUCUGCGGUUAGGACAACACGGACAUCCAUCCAUCUGUCUAUCUCUCUCUCUGUUUCUUUCUAUUUCUCUUUUUCUCUCUCUUUCUUCGUCUCUUUGUAAGCAGCACGGCUACCGAGUACGCGCUCGAGCCAAGGCGAGAGGAAUAGAGUGGGAGAAAGACGGAUAAGAGAACGAGACGAGGUCCAACGGAGGAGGACAGAGUAGGCCGGGCUCGUCGUGAAGCAAGAGUCGGAGAGAGAGAGAAAGAAAGAUAAAAAGAAAGAGAUAGGCAGACUGGGUGCUAAGAAGAGAGAGAGAGAGAGCACGCAUAACAUACGGUCCAUACGUGUAUAGUAAAGAGUCCUGCGAGAAGGAAAAGGAGGAGGAAGCAACGGCACGGCAGAGCAAUAGCAGUGUUAGUAGCAGUAGUAGUAGUAGUAGUAGUAGUGUAGUAGCAGUAAAGUAGUAAUAGCAGCAACAAAAGCACCAGUAGCAGUAGAAGCAGAAGCAGAGAAGCAACGAAGGAGAAGAAGGAGAAGAAGAAGAAGAAGAAGAAGAAGGAGAAGCCCGAGAACGUUACCUCCCGGAGGCGCGGCGCCGACGACGUUUGCGACUAUAAGUAAGUCUCGCGCGUCGCGUCGCGGCUUAAUGCCAUAGCCGCGUCCGUGGCGCCAAGAGGAGGGCCCCCUGGCGACGAUAAGCCUUCUUGCUUGCCCGUCGCGAACACACGCAGAAAAAAAAACACAUAGAAAGAGAGAGAGAGAGGGAGACAACGGGCAGCUUUCACCCGCGUUUUUGAGCAGAGCGUUAUAUACCCCGCGCAAGAUGUGGAUCGCGACAGUGUAGAUAAUAGCGCGGACUAGCGCCGGUGGUGCACGUCUGGCUUUAGUCCAGUUAACAAUCCAGUGUGUUCCGCGACAGUCGGUGUGCUUCUUGUCAGUUUCAUCCCGUUCUCCUGUUUUCUUUUUGUCUCUUCUCUGUUUUCUUUUUAUUUUUCGGUGUCCGAUUAUUCAUCGUUGCCGUUCUAAGGAAAUAAUAAUAGAGAAAAGAAUAGCGAAAGACGGAAAGACGUAUUCGAAGGAAAGAUAUAGAACCCUUUUGGUACAUGUCCUUGUCAUUAAGUUACACUUUUACAAUCGGACCCGAAACUCCGAACGAAGAGGGAGGUUUACGAGCGUUGACCAGCUCGACGACGUACCCUCCGCCGUUAAACCGCGAGGAAGUCUUAUUUGGGAUUGUUAGAA
rnacentral:lncRNA from 1 species